UAAGUUCUUUGGAUCUCAUGAGUCACCUGCGAGAGGAUGCGACCUCCCUAACGUACUAACCGUCAUAACAGAGAGCUAAAGCCGGGCUUGUCGUGUUCUUCUUAACUGAUAACAUUUUAAAGUCCGUGGCUGUCGACGUCGACCCGAUUGACUUCUGUUCUUCGCGUCAUGGCCGUGACAACAUCAAAAGCAUCGCUCCUUCCUUUCUGUGCAGCUAUGCCGGGACCGGAGGAGGCUGUGAGAGCCGCUGUUUCCGCACAGGCCUGUGAUGUUUUGGCCACACAAUGGCAGCACAUGUAAACAGUCUAGCCCUUCUCACAACACACUAAUUGUGCCCACCAAACUACAACAACCCGUGGCGAGAAACCUACUCCUGAUAUGGCGAGGCUUUGCACGGCCUGUAACACGCUGACGCCGAUACCUUCGGCUUCCAAAGACGAGGCGGAAGUCUUUGGAUGUGGCUAUCAGCCUCAGAAAGGAAGUCGAACUGCUUUCCGCGAGACAUGCCUGAGCGUUUCCAGAGUUCCAAGGUACGCGAGCGUUCCACUGCAGUAUGCGAUGCUAGCAGCAAGCAAAGAACAUGGCGCUAAUGCUGUGAUGGCAGUCACGAACAGCAGCAAUGCUGACCUUUUCACCUGAUGCAGAAGACGAGGACCACUGCCAUAGGUUGCACGGCUUGUUGUCGGUCUGGAUACUCUCUUCACUGCUGUCGAAAUUGUGAAAUACGAUUUUCGAUGCUAAAGCUGUGCUGAAGAUCAUUAAUUAGCAGGCUUUGGAGAUUGACUAGCUAGACAACAGCGAUGUGGAUCAUUAAGGUUGACGAUUACCAACACGAAAUACUUGGUUGACUGUGUCGCACUCCUGAUGCCGUCCUCGCCCUUCAAACUUUUAUUUCUGCUCAAUAAUAUUUUCCAAACUGCGACACAUUACCACCACAAUUUCUGCCUUACCACCUCCCCCUCGCGUCUUCUUUCAAGACAAAGGAGGCUUUUCGAGGUAUGAGUACAGUACUAUGUGAUACAUGCAAAGAGCAAGGGGAAGUAUUAUCUGCUUGGCGAAAGAGGCCUACAUCAGAUUGUAGAAGUUGCUUUGACGUAACCCCUGCUUUUGAAGUUGAGUCGAGAUACCAGUCCCUACUGAGUGACCCGUCCACGCAGGAAACACUGUUCCUCUGACGGAGCCUCUUGAGAAGCCGCUGGGGCGAGAGGUCAGGGACGACCGGGGAGGACCGCUCGAGCAGGGUUCCAGGCGCACUCGCUGCUCCUUGCCCCUCGUCCUCUCGGCAUGUUCACACGCCCACCACGCUGUAAUCCCUUUGAUGUACCCGGCGGUCAGGCCGCUGAUCGUUUACAUAAAGGAUUGAUCACUUUUCUCUAUCAUCGAUGGGCCAGACGGUGGCUGGGAGCACAGCGUUCGUGCUCAUUCUUUGAUCAUCAAACACUCUUCCCUUCUGUCCAGAUAAACUGGCCACUGAUGCGACUUAUUUUCCUAGAAAAAGUUCUGAGAACUUAACAAGCAUUCUGUGUAGACUAAAAGUAUUGAUUUUUAUUUGGAAAGAGUAAUCAAAUCUCUCAGGUUUUUUUCACGAUCCAGUUGGUGCGGGCAUCUAAACAAUUGCAAAAAUGUGUCUGUCCACCAUAUGUUGAACGUGGGUCAUGCUGUUCUAAAAAUCAAUCUUCUUUCUUCCUGUUUUUCUGUUUGUUUGUUUGUUUGUUUGUUUGCUUGUUUCUUUCUUUCUUUCUUUCUAUGACCUGUCUACGUAUAGAUUUGAGAUGUACAUCUGCGCCGUACGCAGAUUUUUUUUUUUUUUUAUCGAAGUUUUGUUUGUUUAGUGUUGACUGAGAGAAAGAAAGUAAACAGAAAGUGUUCAAAAUAGUUUUUUUAUGAUACGCGCUGGUGUAGCUCUCUACUAUGAAUAGAUGUUGACUCAAGACAGUACCUCUAUUGCCGACAACAAUCUUCACUUUCAUUUUUGUCUUGGGACGGUAUAGAGUGCAGAACCUAAUGUCUGAGAAGAAACUACGAGUGCUUAAGGAGGUUUUCAAAGGUCGACGGGAGUUGUGUUUGCCUUGACUUCUCCCCGGGAGCUGGUAUAGUACAUGCCUGCCCUCUGGGGAGCCUGGAGAAUAAUUCCCGGAUGAAUACUUCACAACUGUCUAUGCAGGGGCACUAAAUGAGCGAUUUACUCCUUGGCUGUGCAGCACGGAAGAAGUAAAACACGCCACAGUUUCGAAGUAAACAGAGAAAUGUUUGUCGCAGGCGUUUGUGAAGCAAUUUGCAUUAUUCGUCCUCCUUGUCAUUCUCUCCUCCGAUCUAGUAUCGUGGCUGGACAAUGCCACUGAAAAUUAUAGCUGCUGUACAAUAAACACCUCACUUUUCGCUAGGCAAAUAUUAUGUUUAUGAAAAUUGUUUCGACUCGGUGAAAAGCAAGUCUGAAACCAGCAUAUACAACAAAGCAGUGUUGGGCUAAAAGGCUAGUAGCCUAUUAGCUUCGAACGCAACGAUUCCGAAACUGUCUAAACAAUCCCCCGCCAUUAACUUUUGAAAUCGUAGGCAGUCGUGCAUUGGAAAAUCUAUUCUUAAUUUCUUUCAAAUUUUGUUUGCCAAUCAUUCGAGAGACAUCAAAGAUGUUGACCAUUUCAGUCAGUUGAAAGCGGAGAACUUUCUCUGAUGUGUCACGCUUGGGCGAACAGACAUACAGACAGACAGAGUGUAUGCCCCAUUCUUACAUAAUUAUAUCUUCUUUGUAACAGAAUGUGUUACCAAUAUUUUGUAAGACAGGUAAUCGUUGUAAAGGGGUCAUCUGCGUAUUGGACUCAAUAAGCGAUAUUAGGUAGUAUGUAGAAGGAAUCAAGUAGUGCAGCUAGAUUCAUCACUAAUAUUGUAAUUAUAUUAUGUAUUAUGCUGCCAAUCAGUAAAUAAAAUUCCGUCUAUUUUUCCCAAGGAUACCAGGAUACUGUAUUUAUCUGCAUGACAACGUAAUGUGUCGGUGGGUGAGGCGAGUUACAAGUGAGCACAUUAGUAGAUGUCAUAAUCAUAAUAACCUUCUAUUCUCUUAAUUUCUUUCCUCUUUAGAAAAAAAUAAAUAAACAAACAAGCAACACACGAAAUCAUUAGCAUCGUCCUUUUCACUUUGCCAGUUUUCUUUCUUCUCUCUUUUUUUUUUUCUUUUUUUUUUUUUUUUUUGUUUUUUUUUUGCCCGCACGCACAAACACAAUGACAGAAAGACGCAUAAAAGAAGAGACUUCUUACUAAAUGCCACGUAUCCUCAGAUAAUUUCAAUCUGUCACUCAGAUCAAGAUAAAAGUAGGCGUGGUCUUGCUUCUAGAACCGUCACACUGGCACUUAGACAACUCCGAGUUCGCUUUAGACCCAGGGGCGGGACAUUUUUGUGUGAUCAGUAGCGCGAGCGCUGUUUGUUUGAGACUGACGUCCAUAGUUCCUUGUGCGCUAAUUAGUACUUUCUAGGUCCAUAGUCUUUCGCUGUGUUUGUUUUGCUUCGAACCCUGCACUCGCACAACUGCCUCGACAUCAAAGCUUUGGCCAGCUUGUUCGCAUCAGCCCUGACUAGCGGGAGGGAACCAAAGAAACACGUCGGCAGGGUUAGUUCCGAUCCACAGGGAAUCUGGGGCAGGGAGCCAAGCUAGCCGAGACUUUUUUCCAGUGACUUCCACACGCAGACCACUCGGCAGUACUUUGCAGCAAAUGGUGCGUUUUAUCUUCGUGUCGGGUGGAUAGAAGUGUCAGUGUCUAGCCAAAGCUUUUCUCAAAGCCUGAAAGCAAUCCUCAAUUUCCAGGAUUUUGAACUCCAAAGGAUUGUUUAGUACAAACGACUACUUAAAUUAGCAUAUUAUAACAAUGAGACUGGUUAUGUGCAAUAUACAGAGUCUAUCAGUUAUUUCAAAAAGCAGUAGAAAGUAACAGCAUGAUAUUUGUUAACAGGUAACUCCAAAUGACAGCAGAAGAUUAUGUCACUUUCGCAAUUUCUCAUCCAAACACAUAAAGCAAGAAAUGAAAAAAAAACAAACAAACAAACAAACA